ACUCAAAGGAAUAGACGGGGGCCCGCACAAGCGGUGGAUGAUGUGGAUUAAUUCGAUGCAACGCGAAAAACCUUACCUGGUCUUGACAUGUAUAGAACCCCGGAGAGAUUUGGGGGUGCCGCAAGGAGCUAUAACACAGGUGCUGCAUGGCUGUCGUCAGCUCGUGUCGUGAGAUGUUGGGUUAAGUCCCGCAACGAGCGCAACCCUUGCCAUUAGUUGCCAGCAUUAAGUUGGGCACUCUAAUGGGACUGCCGGUGACAAACCGGAGGAAGGUGGGGAUGACGUCAAGUCCUCAUGGCCCUUAUGACCAGGGCUUCACACGUCAUACAAUGGUCGGUACAGAGGGUCGCCAACCCGCGAGGGGGAGCCAAUCCCAGAAAACCGAUCGUAGUCCGGAUUGCAGUCUGCAACUCGACUGCAUGAAGUCGGAAUCGCUAGUAAUCGCGGAUCAGCAUGUCGCGGUGAAUACGUUCCCGGGCCUUGUACACACCGCCCGU
rnacentral:rRNA from 1 species